rnacentral:misc_RNA from 1 species
UUGUGGAGGAGGACGCCGAAGGUGGGGCUAAUGACUGGGGUGAAGUCGUAACAAGGUAGCCGUACCGGAAGGUGCGGCUGGAUCACCUCCUAACAGGGAGACAACAAAAUGUUUAAUAUUAUUAUUUUGUCACCUUAGGUCGAUCGGUAUCUCACAUUUUUAAUUUAUUAAGAAUUUCAUUUCCUAAGUUUUUCUAGGUCACACCCAUUAUUUUUCCUGGGCCAUUAGCUCAGGUGGUUAGAGCGCACCCCUGAUAAGGGUGAGGUCCCUGGUUCAAGUCCAGGAUGGCCCAUAUCUCUAUGUUGGGGGUAUAGCUCAGUUGGUAGAGCGCCUGCUUUGCAAGCAGGAUGUCAGCGGUUCGAGUCCGCUUACCUCCACUGAUUACCACCUCCUCCAUAACCGGUAGAAAGGAAAUGUUCUGAGUUGUGAUCAAAUUCUGAAAGAAUCUAGCUUCCUAAUGAAAUAAUUAAGAUGCUGGACUCAUUGAAUUAUUUUCAUUGUUUUCAGAGAACCUUGACAACUGCAUAGAUUAAUUUUAAAGACAAUAAGCAUCUUUAAUGAUGCAGAUUUAUUAUUUGUGCGAAUGCAUUAAUAACAAUUCUAUUAAGCUGAUGCUUCAAUUUUGAAGUUAUUGGUCAAGCUACAA